GAUGAACGCUGGCGGCGUGCCUAAUACAUGCAAGUCGAGCGAACGGACGAGAAGCUUGCUUCUCUGAUGUUAGCGGCGGACGGGUGAGUAACACGUGGAUAACCUACCUAUAAGACUGGGAUAACUUCGGGAAACCGGAGCUAAUACCGGAUGAUAUUUUGAACCGCAUAGUUUAAAAGUGAAAGACGGUCUUGCUGUCACUUAUAGAUGGAUCCGCGCUGCAUUAGCUAGUUGGUAAGGUAACGGCUUACCAAGGCAACGAUGCAUAGCCGACCUGAGAGGGUGAUCGGCCACACUGGAACUGAGACACGGUCCAGACUCCUACGGGAGGCAGCAGUAGGGAAUCUUCCGCAAUGGGCGAAAGCCUGACGGAGCAACGCCGCGUGAGUGAUGAAGGUCUUCGGAUCGUAAAACUCUGUUAUUAGGGAAGAACAUAUGUGUAAGUAACUGUGCACAUCUUGACGGUACCCAAUCAGAAAGCCACGGCUAACUACGUG
rnacentral:rRNA from 1 species